rnacentral:rRNA from 1 species
UACGGGGGGGGUAAGCGUUGUUCGGAAUUACUGGGCGUAAAGGGCUCGUAGGCGGCCAACUAAGUCAUACGUGAAAUCCCUCAGCUUAACUGGGGAACUGCGUCCGAUACUGGAUGGCUUGGAUUUGGGAGAGGGAUGCGGAAUUCCAGGUGUAGCGGUGAAAUGCGCAGAUAUCUGGAGGAACACCGGUGGCGAAGGCGGCAUCCUGGACCAAUAUUGACGCUGAGGAGCGAAAGCCAGGGGAGCAAACGGG